rnacentral:rRNA from 1 species
GUGGGGAAUUUUGGACAAUGGGGGCAACCCUGAUCCAGCAAUGCCGCGUGAGUGAAGAAGGCCUUCGGGUUGUAAAGCUCUUUUGUCAGGGAAGAAACAGCAGCUCUAACACAGUUGUGAAUGACGGUACCUGAAGAAUAAGCACCGGCUAACUACGUGCCAGCAGCCGCGGUAAUACGUAGGGUGCAAGCGUUAAUCGGAAUUACUGGGCGUAAAGCGUGCGCAGGCGGUUAUACAAGACAGGCGUGAAAUCCCCGGGCUUAACCUGGGAAUUGCGUCUGUGACUGUAUAGCUAGAGUGUGUCAGAGGGGGGUAGAAUUCCACGUGUAGCAGUGAAAUGCGUAGAUAUGUGGAGGAAUACCAAUGGCGAAGGCAGCCCCCUGGGAUAACACUGACGCUCAUGCACGAAAGCGUGGGGAGCAAA